CGCACAUUGCGCCCGCCAGCACUCUGGCGGGCAUGCCUGUCCGAGCGUCAUUUCCACCCUCAGGCCCCCUGUGGCCUGGCGUUGGGGCUCCUGUGGGCUCGCGCUCUGCGAGCUCGACAGGCCCUCAAGACCAGUGGCGGGCUCGCCUGGACUCCGAGCGCAGUAAAUUACCUCUCGCUCAGGGGACCUCCGGGCGGGUUUCUGGCCGUUAACCCCCUAAAUCUUAAAGGUUGACCUCGGAUCAGGUAGGAAUACCCGCUGAACUUAA
rnacentral:misc_RNA from 1 species